rnacentral:rRNA from 1 species
UAGGGAAUCUUCGGCAAUGGACGGAAGUCUGACCGAGCAACGCCGCGUGAGUGAAGAAGGUUUUCGGAUCGUAAAGCUCUGUUGUAAGAGAAGAAUGAGUGUGAGAGUGGAAAGUUCACACUGUGACGGUAUCUUACCAGAAAGGGACGGCUAACUACGUGCCAGCAGCCGCGGUAAUACGUAGGUCCCAAGCGUUGUCCGGAUUUAUUGGGCGUAAAGCGAGCGCAGGCGGUUAGAUAAGUCUGAAGUUAAAGGCUGUGGCUUAACCAUAGUACGCUUUGGAAACUGUUUAACUUGAGUGCAAGAGGGGAGAGUGGAAUUCCAUGUGUAGCGGUGAAAUGCGUAGAUAUAUGGAGGAACACCAGUGGCGAAAGCGGCUCUCUGGCUUGUAACUGACGCUGAGGCUCGAAAGCGUGGGGAGCAAACAGGAUUAGAUACCCUGGUAGUCCACGCCGUAAACGAUGAGUGCUAGGUGUUAGACCCUUUCCGGGGUUUAGUGCCGUAGCUAACGCAUUAAGCACUCCGCCUGGGGAGUACGACCGCAAGGUUG